GGAGCAUUGUCCGAGUGGUUUAAGGUGCAGACCUGCUAAGUCUGUGGUGUGUAUGCAUCCAUUGGUUCGAAUCCAAUAUGCUCCGCCA
rnacentral:tRNA from 1 species